GAUGAACGCUGGCGGCGUGCUUAACACAUGCAAGUCGAACGAAGCACCUUGAUUUGAUUCUUCGGAUGAAGAUCUUGGUGACUGAGUGGCGGACGGGUGAGUAACGCGUGGGUAACCUGCCUCAUACAGGGGGAUAACAGUUAGAAAUGACUGCUAAUACCGCAUAAGACCACAGCACCGCAUGGUGCAGGGGUAAAAACUCCGGUGGUAUGAGAUGGACCCGCGUCUGGUUAGGUAGUUGGUGGGGUAACGGCCUACCAAGCCGACGAUCAGUAGCCGACCUGAGAGGGUGACCGGCCACAUUGGGACUGAGACACGGCCCAAACUCCUACGGGAGGCAGCAGUGGGGAAUAUUGCGCAAUGGGGGAAACCCUGAUGCAGCGACGCCGCGUGAGCGAUGAAGUAUUUCGGUAUGUAAAGCUCUAUCAGCAGGGAAGAAAAUGACGGUACCUGACUAAGAAGCACCGGCUAAAUACGUGCCAGCCGCCGCGGUAA
rnacentral:rRNA from 1 species